CUGCUGGGGCUGGAUCCAGGGCAGAGAGCCAAAGGGAGAGGCUGAAGGAUCUGGAAAGCCAAGUGGGGGGUGUGAGGUCACAGCUUCUUCGUGUGUAUCACCAGUGGGGAUUGAGAGGAGAGGAAAACCACGAUGGAGGCCAUGGGACUGUGGGCAGCUUUUUGGAGCACAGGAAAACUGGACACAGAGGAGUUCACAGGGAAGACCAUGUGAACACAGAGUGAGAAGACAGCCACUUACAAGCCAAUGGGAGAGGCCUCAGAAGAAAUCAGCCUGGUGACGGCUUGAUCUCAUACUUCUAGCCUCCAGACCUGUCUACCAGCACCCCAGCAACUCUCAGAAGAUAACGUUUUUUUUCUCAUUUCACUGAGAAGCAGCAGCAAAGUACAUCCACAUCAUCAUCAUCAAAUCCAGGAACCUCCCAAUCCUGAAAGCUGUGCUUUCCAAAUUUCUUCUGUGAGGUGGUGGAGCUCCUACCCACACUCUCACCUGUGCUUUGGAUACCUAUCACCAAUAUAUGAGUCCAGGAGUUCAAGACCAGCCUGGGCAACAUGGUGAAACCCUGUCUCUACAUAAAUAAAUAAAUAAAUAAAUAAAUA